AACAAUGACCAAAGGCCACAUUUCUCUUGCCACAUUAUUAACAAAUGUGAGAGCUUUUACUGUUUAAGAUAUGAACCCCACCCCAUUUGAUAUCGUAGGUGAGACAUUGUCUCACAAUUGCAUAUAAUUAUGGCUAGGUAAUAUAUUAUUGUUUUUUACGUACUAAAACCUGACAGGGCUGUCAUCUCUCGCCUCCCCCUCUUUUCUUUGCUCCAACUUUUGCUAUUUUUUAAUUUUAAAAAUUCAAAUAUUUAUGAAAUAACUCACAAUGCUCCCAGUCUCCAACACUUGUAUCUUAUUUGUAGUUCUUUUCCCAUUCUUUUCUUCAUCUCUGUCCUUCACUUUAUCUUCCGCCUCUCUCUCUCUCUCUCUGCAGAACCAAAGUUCUGACCGCCUCGGAUUUCUUGACGAUCUCCGACUUCGAGCCAACGACCGCCUUCGAC
rnacentral:lncRNA from 1 species